GACGAACGCUGGCGGCAUGCCUAAUACAUGCAAGUCGAACGCUGAAGCACUCUGCUUGCAGAUUGCGGAUUAGUGGCGAACGGGUGAGUAACACGUGGGUAAUCUGCCUAUAAGAGUGGGAUAACUUUCGGAAACGGAUGCUAAUACCGCAUAUAUUCUUGGACCGCCUGGUUCUUUAGUGAAAGACGGCUUUGCUGUCACUUAUAGAUGAUUCCGCGCCGUAUUAGUUAGUUGGUGGGGUAAAGGCCUACCAAGACAAUGAUACGUAGCCGACCUGAGAGGGUGAUCGGCCACACUGGAACUGAGACACGGCCCAGACUCCUACGGGAGGCAGCAGUAGGGAAUCUUCCACAAUGGGCGAAAGCCUGAUGGAGCAAUGCCGCGUGAAUGAAGAAGGUCUUCGGAUCGUAAAGUUCUGUUAUUAGAGAAGAACAAGUGAAGGAGUAACUGUGUAGACUUUGACGGUACCUAACCAGAAAGUCACGGCUAACUACGUG
rnacentral:rRNA from 1 species